CAAAUGGAGAGUUUGAUCCUGGCUCAGGAUGAACGCUGGCGGCAUGCCUAAUACAUGCAAGUCGAACGGAAC
rnacentral:rRNA from 1 species